AAAAUUAUUAAUAAAAAGGUAAUAAACAGUUUUCGUGUCAGCUGAUCAUCGCUUACUAGAGAUGUAAGAUUUUCGGAAUUUCGAUCGCAGCGCGCGUAUAGUGAAGAAAAGUGAAACUAAAGGUCCUGAUGUAAGCGUGGUUCCAGUCUAGAAUGCUGUUAUGUCUUAGUUUUAAGGAGAAUCUAACUGCGCGCGUAGUUUGACCGGCGUACUAAUACACGCGUAAUUUUUCCGUAUUGUGUCCAAUAGUGUCCAUAACUGCAAACUCGCUUUUUAGAAUCGCUUUUUAGAAUUUUCGCUUUGAAGCAUCACGAUUUCCAAGUUCCCCGUUCCUGAACAAGUUCCCCCUACCUUCCGCCCCUCUUUUUCGAAGUUUUUCGAUCUCGAAGUUUUCCGUUUCUGAAGCUCUCCGAUUUUGAAGUUUCUCGAUUCUAAUGUUUCCCGAUUUCGAAGUUUUUCGAUUUUGCUUUUUAGAAUCUUCGGUUUUUAGAAUCUUCGCUUUCCAAGUUCCUCGAUUUCGAAGAUCGCCCGUUUUCGAACUUCUCCGUUUUUGUUUUUUAGAACCCUCGGUUUCGAAGUUUCUCAAUCUCGAAGUACCCCGAUCUCGAAGUUCCCCGUUUUUAAUUCCCCCCGAUUAGUCCCCGGCACUAAUCUACGCUUCUAUAUGUGUCAACAGGCAGAAUUUAUAAAAGAAUUAUUAAACCACGUCAACGAUAUUUUACAAUGCUGGUGCGACUACAUCAAUCAAACUGGCUCAUCCAUGUCACGCCACAAUUGCUGGCAGACAGAGAAAUCGUCCAACUUUAUUGUUGUUGGAACACAACGUCGCUAACGCCAGGUUCACCGAUUCGUACGAUUUCACCGCGAGAGACAUGGCCAAUGUAAAAGGAUACCACGAGAUUUUCUUAUUAUUAUUAGAAAACGCGGAAAAAUAAUAGACAACACAACGUAUAUUGCACCGAAGAAGAAACGUAAGACGAAUUGGCCCGUGUUGUUAACUAUUAUUAUUGUUAAUAGUAGGAAUUUUUGUAUACAUGACGAAUAUCGUUCAGAGAUUGAUAUACCGUUAGAAUUACUCGAGAUCUAUCUGUAAAAUCUGUUUUCUUCUCACGUUCCACGCUACUAGGAAAACAUUAAAAUAUAAUAAAAUAUGUAAGAUAACGUUAAACAGGA